rnacentral:rRNA from 1 species
CGGGACGGGUGAGUAACGCGUGGAUAACCUGCCUUUCACAGGGGAGUAACAGCUGGAAACGGCUGCUAAUACCGCAUGAGCCUCUUUUGUCGCAUGAGAAGAGAGGGAAAGAGAAAUCGGUGAGAGAUGGAUCCGCGUCCGAUUAGCUAGUUGGAGGGGUAACAGCCCACCAAGGCGACGAUCGGUAGCCGACCUGAGAGGGUGGACGGCCACAUUGGGACUGAGACACGGCCCAAACUCCUACGGGAGGCAGCAG